rnacentral:lncRNA from 1 species
UUUUAGGAUGCAAAGAGGUUGCGUUGACUUUGGUCAAAGUUGACCAAAGUCAAUCAAUUGGUCAAAGUUCAUUUUUUUUGUAUUUUCUUGUAAAUGGAAUUCAAUGGACAAUUAUGGGUGAAUUUUUUGGGUUUAGGGAAUUUGGGUUGACUUUGGUCAAAGUUGACCAAAAAGUCAACUGUUGACCAAAAAGUCAACAAUUGGUCAAAAUGUCAAUUUUUGUGUAUUUUUUUGUAUGGGAUCAAAUGUAAUGAAAUAAAAUUGAAAUGGAUUAAUAAAAUGGUUUGAAGUUGGUUUCCAAA